UACGUAGGUGGCAAGCGUUGUCCGGAUUUACUGGGUGUAAAGGGCGUGCAGCCGGGCUGACAAGUCAGAUGUGAAAUCCCGCGGCUCAACCGCGGAACUGCAUUUGAAACUGUCAGUCUUGAGUACCGGAGAGGUCAUCGGAAUUCCUUGUGUAGCAGUGAAAUGCGUAGAUAUAAGGAAGAACAUCAGUGGCGAAGGCGGAUGACUGGACGGCAACUGACGGUGAGGCGCGAAAGCGUGGGGAGCAAACAGG
rnacentral:rRNA from 1 species